ACAUUUCCCAUGAAGCCAUGGGCUCGGGCCUCCGGCUUCCCCGGUGACCAGUAGCCAAUGGGAGACGCCGCAGUGGGCACCUUGUGGGUGAGAGUCCAGCCUUGGGUCGGAGUGCCGGGUCUAGGCCUGGAGGCGCGAGGCGGGCAUUUCGGACGAGAGUGGCGCGGCGUGGGGCGCAGCGAGGGCACUACGCGCCCAGGAACUGCCGCGCCAACCUGAUUUUCCGCAGCUGUUUAAGGACUAGCGCUUCGGUAGCCGGGGAGCUGGAGGGAACCUGAUUUGAGAUCAAUUCUUGGAGAACACAAAGAAGUGUGAUGGAUUGAACCAGCUGCCCUUUGACCCUGCCAACAACAACGAGCCCCUGCAGUUUGGUAGUGCCAGUGGCCCUCUGGUCACAGAAGGCCUCAUUGAGAAUGGAGGGGAAUCAAGCAAGAAAAGAAAGAGAACAAAUACUCCUUCAGCCGAUAACAGUAGAACUCUGAAUGUGGAUUCCACUGCAAUGACACUACCUAUGUCUGAUCCAACUGCAUGGGCCACAGCAAUGAAUAAUCUUGGAAUGGCACCGCUGGGAAUUGCCGGACAACCAAUUUUACCUGGUAUGUUAUUUUUAAUCACCUCGCAAGUGCUUAUUUUUAUUGACCAUGUGGUAAUAAAUAUAGCAGUAUGACACAACUUAUUUUGAAGUUGACAUUUACCAGAUUCUGCCUAGAGUGUGCAUUUUUGUAAUAUGAGCUUUAUAGUCUGGGUAGCCGGUAGUUACUAGUAUACUCCUUUUUGCACUUUGGACAUGCUGGGGGUAUAUCCAAUGCAGGCUAGGGUCAUUGAAGCUUUAAACAGCUCUUUGAAAUACAAGGCAAGAGGAUUUUGGCGAGGAAUUACAAAGCUUGUGUAAUUUUAUAGAUUUCAUAGAGGAGGCAAAUAAACAUGGAGACAGAAAGAGAACUGACGUAGAUAUCUCCAAAAUCUUAGAUUCCUAGAGGAGAGAAAGGAGAUGGUGGAGGACAGCCCAAAGACUGUUUUUAACAUUGAAUAACUGUGUGUAAAUACACACACACAUACAUAUAUACAUAAACAAAGUAACCUGUAAUAGAACUGACAUGGUGGACUAACUCCACCUCCACUAAAGAUAAAAUGAGAAGCAGAACAUCACAGCACCUGAAGGGUUUUGUUUAGACACAGAAAAGCUUCCUGGACAGUGAGAGCUAAUUAAUCAUUACAAUGAAUUUUUGAAGACAUUUGGGAAUUGCCAUCUCAGGGAGCCUGAGGCAGCUUUUUAAACAGCUUAAACAUUAAUCUCCCCAGAUUCAAUUAAUUGUGACUCUACUUAAAAGCACAACAGGACCAGGCCAAUCUAGAACCUUGCUACUCAAAGUGUGCCCUGCAUAACCUGGGAACCACUUAGAAUCCCAGAAUCUCAGGCCCCAGCACAGACCUACUGAAUCAGAAGCUGCAUUUUCGCAAGAUCCCCAGGUGCUUCACAGGCACAUUAAAGUUGAUAAACAGAUUUAGAGUAAUGCCAUUUUGCCUUGCCAUUUAUUUAUAUAGUUAGCUACACCCCCCAAAAUAUUAUUUCACAAUUCCAGUGCAGAUUAUAAAUCCUUAUAAGUUAUAACGAGGGUGGGCUAUGCUAGACAGCAAUACUAAUAAUGAAUUAAGAAAUGUUGUUACAUCAAAAGCCAAGAAACAAGCAUAAAAGCAACCAAACAUGAAGAAAAAAAGGUAUGUGAAUAAGAAAUGGGUGGAGAAAAAAAAAGGAGUCUAAAUUCUAUAUGUGGCAGGUGCAAAGAACUCUGCCAAACUAUAAUUCAUACCAUAGGUUGUAGUUCACCAGACUGUAUUCUUCUCCAUUAGACCAACAACAAUUGAAAUGAACCACCAAACAUCCUUUGAGAGCUACAGUGAUUGGACCAUGGAUUUCCUUAGGUUUUGAAUGACUAGUGGGGCCAAUCUGGGAUCAGUGAAUGUUACUGAAGGAGCCAAUAUUGCAGAAUGGUUAAGAUGUCAGGUGCUGGAGUCAGUCUGCUUGGCUUCCAAGCCUGUUUCUUUCACUAUUUGAUCUCGAGCAGUUGUGUAUCUUCUGAGACUCAGUGUGCUCAUCUACAAAGUCAGACUAAUAGUGCCUAACUCCUAGGAUGACAAUUAAAUCAUGUUUAGCACAAUGGUACAUAGAAGGUGCUCAAAAAUGGCAGCUAUUAAAAUACUUCAAAAAUCAUUAUUAAUGUAUUUCUCAUAGACAUUUCUAAGGAAGUAACAAGUUUUGUAUUUAGUACCUCUUUAUUAUUUGAUUAUAAUAGAAUUUAAACUGAAAUAUAUAUUGUUUUAUAGCUCCAUGUAGAGUGUCCCUGAGUCACAACACUUAUAGUCUAAGAUGACUAGACAAUCUAAUUUGACUUAAAUAUUUCCAGUUUAUGACAGUCUGGACCAUAUGUGUAAAAGUCCCAGGAAAAAUAUUGAGGCCACAUCUGUGCUCUGGUCCAGGGGACUAAAUGUUAACUGAUACCAUAUGAUUUGUAAAUUAUCAUAUAUAAGCAUAAAUCUAUGCUCACAAAGUAAUAUUCAAUACUUAGCCACCCAUCUAUAACAUGGAAAAAGAAAGGCCUAGCAUUGAGAACAAAAAUUCCACCAAGCAAUCAUUACAGACCCAAAGCUUGAGCUGGGGUCAAUAAUAAGGCUAGAAAAUUGUGGUAAGUUUUCUUAACAGUGUGGUAGAGGGCUUGAAUCCUCAUAACAGUAUCUUGCUUAGUGCUUAACAACACAGGCCUUGAAGUUAGAGGAUUACCUGGGUUUGAGUCCUUGCUCUGCCACUUACUAUGUUACCUUAAGCAAGUUACUUGACCUGUCUGUUCCUCAGUUUUCUCAUCUGUAAAAUGGAGAUAAUGAUAGUGUCCUAGCUCAUAGGAUUGCUGUGGACAUUAAAUAAUAUACUUAGCACACUGCUUACCAUAUAAUAAGCACCCAAUAAAGAUAAACUGUCAUCAUUAUUACUACUCUUAGAAGUACUAUAUGCUCUGAUGUAGAGGAAGUACUAACAUACAUUCUUCAAAUCGCUGCUAAGCUCCCACUUAAAUUGAAAGUAUUUGGAUGCUAUGCAGCCACUGUCAACGCUAAUAUGCUAAUAAGCGUUCUGUACAUCCAGCUUCAACCAGACAUUUGAAACCUCAAGAGUAUUUUUAAUUUCUACCUUUGGCCCCCUUCUCCACAUCUUGUUUUCUUAACGACUGUAAAGAAAUGGUUUCUCUUUGACCUGUAAUUCAGUGAUUCUGCCUGCCACCAUGCUCCAGUGAAACUUACUUGACUGUUUGGAAACCUGGUCAUAGAAAUGCUGGUAUUAGUUCAGUAGUUCCCGUCUUGUCUUAAAGUGCAUGGGGCAAUAACAUCAGGCUGAGAUAUACUUUGUAAAGCUAUGUAUAAAAUCACUUAAGUUAUGUGUGAACUGGUUUUUCUUGUAUCUGUAUUAUUUUAGGAAGACAGUUUACCACUGAGAUUUGAACAAGGGUUCUAGAUCCAGAAUGCCUAUGUUCAAGUCUCUGUCAUUAACCAGUUGUGUGACUGUUGACAAGUUACUUCACUUCUCUAUGCCUCAGUUUCUUCAUCUGUAAAAUGCAGAUAAUAAUGACACCUGUGUUAUAGGGUUGUUAUGAGGAUUCAUGUGUUAAUACAUGUAAAGCCUUAGAAUGAUGCCUGGCUCACAGUAAUUCCUCAAUUAACUCAGCUAUUAUUAUUGUUUCAAGUUCACAUGUGCGAUGUGGCUCACAAAAAGUUGAAUUAUGACUCAUCUUUACCUUUAACAACAGUGAAGGACAGUAAAGGCAAGGGUGAAAUUUUUCCCUGGUGAAAUACUGGACAGCAACAGGUGAAGAGAAUAGUAUAUGUCUAACAGUACUGAUGCCUGUUCCUUAUAAAUCUGUUGGGGAUUUUCACAGAAAUGGAAGGGUGGCACGACACUCCAAUGCUGCCUACCUUUCUUCUUGCCAGGGUCUGGAGAACAGAGUGCCUGCCAUCUUUACAAUGGGUUAAAACAUCUCCCUGAUCAGCUCCCCACACCUCAAGAUUUCUUAAAAUGGAAAAGGCAGCAAAUAAGCCUCAUGGAGCUGUUGCCUGAAGUCACCCAUCAAAGGCUCAGUAAUUCAGCUACUUUUAUGUUCCUCAGGAGGUUUCCUACUGAGCCAGCAGACUUUUCUUUGUCCUGUCUCAUCUGGCCUGUCUGUGACAGUAGAGAAGUCUUUUGACAUUGAUGAAAAACAAGUGAUAAUGUAAGCUUCCUUCACUGCCCCUAGAGACCUCUAAUCUAUACUGUCAUGGAUACUGAGUCUCUUAGACACACACUUGUCAUGAAGGCAAUGUCUGGCAUAGUUAUUAUAUUCAUUGAGUAGGGAGUAGAAACAGGCUAUCUCUGAGGUUUGGUGUGGAGUUCCCUUUCAACUAACAUGGUGUUUUGUACUGCUGUGGUUCAAUAAAGUUAAUCCAUAAUGAUGGCAGAUCAGGCGGUCCCCUCUGGCUAGCAGCUGUCUUUCCUGCAAGAGUAUUUGCUUUGAGAAGCUGGUCAAAUAAGACUAAUGUUAGUGGAGCUCAAUAGAGUCAGGCCCUCUGGUUAAAGAACAUUCUGCCCCAGUCAUUCCAGAUGAAUCCAAGGAUGGACCCAUUAAGGGCUACUUGUUGAAUACUGCCUGCUGCUUCUUUUAUUUUCCCCUCAAUUAAAAUAUCCUUAGCAGCCAAGUGUGGAGCCUGUGAAGUCCAAAAAGAGAAGAGUUCCUCAUUAUGAUGUCCCCACUGUAUUGAUUGUGUCUGCUCCAUAAUGAAAGAUAUUGGAAAAUAUGGACUCAUGGACCUUAUUCUCAGAGCAAAGCCCUUCUCAUUCUUAAGGAGGCAGUUAUCACUGGACCCAACAGGCCAACUCUGAUGGGAACAGAAAGAAAGAAGGAGUUUGUAUGAUGAUGACAGACCACUGUUCUGCAAGCUCCUCAGGAAGGCCUGGCCUUCGGUUUGUAUUAUUUUUAAUAUCUGCCACAAAUAGAGUAUGCUUUUAGUGGCAAAAAGUUACGAUCCUGAGAAAGGAGAGCACUGUUCAUCAUCAUAGUAUAUAUGUUACCAAGAGCCAAUAAUAUGUAAACAUUAUAUAUACCAGAUAAAAUUAAUGUCUCUUCAAAACAAACCUGAAUUCAAGCUACUGAUGGUACUCUCAAGAUUCACCAUGGAGCGUAUCUACACCUGGAGAUAUUCAUUUAAAUCUCCUCCAUGCCAUCAAGCUCCCGUAGUAACACAACAGCUGGCAGUUAGCUGUUGUGCCAGAUCAUCCUUUCAAAAACAAAAAGACAGAGGCAUCAUCAUUUGGUUUGGACAUAACUGAGACCCUGCUUUUAUGAAUAUGAAUUAGUUCUAUAUUGUAUAGCUGAAAAAGUUAAAAAUGUUUUAGUUAUUUAUCUUGAUAUUACAGAAGUACUUUACUUCAACAAAAAUGUAUGAGUUUUUAUGAUCUAUAUAUUGUCAUAUUUUUCUUUGGGAACAAGCACAUCAUGAUUUUGACUUGAGUACUGGCAACAACAAGAUUAACUGGGCCACAGAAGGACAAACAGGAGAUGGUCAAUGUAAUAGAGACUGUGUAUUGAGGUCCCCGCAAAGAACGAGGUCCUAUCUCCCAGAGAAGACACCACAAAAUACAGAUAGUGAGGCGCUCUACAUCACAGUCUGUGUAGGUGAAUGCUGUGGAGCUGUUUUCUCGUGGAAAUAUUUUAAACUAUUUAAAGCCUUUGGAAGAGUAUGUGAAGCUCAAGGGCCAGAGGAUCUUUGAGAGAAGAAUUUCAUGACCUUAACUAGCUGGAAUAAGUAAAUGCACAGUGAUAGGAACAAUCAUUAAAAAAGAAAAGACUCCCCAUGGAAACUAUUAGGAGCAGGAGCUGAGUCAAACUAUUUGCUUAUUCAUUCAUUCAUACAAGAAAUAUUCACUGAAGCCUGCCAGUAUAAAGGUACUGUGAGAAGCACCAGGGAGAAAGCAAUGAACAAAAAAGACAAAGUUUCCUAUCCUCAUAGUGACUCCAAUACUUUUAGAACUUCCACACUCUCUCCCUAAUCCAACAUGUUCUCAAAUAUGAGCUGGCUCUUCACUGACAACAGCUCAAAGGCCUUCCUUUCAUUUUAUUCAUUUGUUCUUUUAUUUAUCCAUCCAUUCAUCGAAGAUCUAUUGAGCUAGAUAUAGGGGAUCCCAACAUGGGCAUGGCGCAAUCCUUGCCUUCAAGCUCAAGUUGCAGUGACAGAGGCAACAAAGUAAAUAUCACUAUACUAUAAUGUUGCAAGUGUCAUAACAGAAACUUCUAAAUAAGUAUAUUUUAGCCCAGGUAUGGUGAGGGGAAAUGCUAGGUAGAUGGCGGUGGUCAGAAAAGGUUCACAAAAGAGGUAACAUUUGAGCUAGGUGUCCAGGGAUAUAUAGGAGUAUGUCAGGAGGAUAAAAGAACUAAGAACUGUGUAGGCAGAGGAAACACUGCAUCAAUUAUUGGAAGGUAUGCAAGGGUAUACAGUAUGGAGACAGUGGUUAACUAUUGAGUUACAUCACCUCAUUCAGCAAAGACUUUGAGGCAGCUUAUAAGAAAGAUUACAGUAUAUGAAAAAAUACAAUAAUUUAUAAAAAAUAAAAUAAAAUAAAUCAGCAUCUGGGAAAAUAUAAAUGAGAAUACAAGACAAAGACCAGGUAGGAAGUUAAUUAAAAUUCAGGUGUGUAGGUCAUAGAAUCCCACCUGAUUUCUGAAGUUGAGCUGCCCCUGUGACAAAGCAGCCAAAACAAAAAAGGGAAACCUGAUCAGUUAUAUAAUUUGCAUUUUUCCAUGAAGAAAAAAUACACCAGUCCUCAGGGGAAGUGAAGCUUUUCAUGGCCCUUAAUAAUGUGUGUAUGUGUGUGUGUGACAUUCUAGUUCUGAAAGAAGUUUUUCACAGGAAGUUUCAUAUAUAGGGGAGCACGCUAAGUGAAAUGGUUGAGUGAUCUGAAAAGCCCAAACACUGGUGUGUAGGCCACGACCCUUCUAUGGCAAAAUGUAAAAACUAAAAAUGUAGUAAAUUUGUCAUGAAGCUAAAUUUGCUCAAUUGAAAGGACUGCCCUUUAUUCUGAGGUGAUAGACUUCCUGUAUUUUUGAUUUUAAAAUGUUCUUUCUUUUAUGAACUGUAUGAAUAGGAUAUUGGUUAGUUUCUUUGUUACUUUUUCCCCACUUCUUUUCUUGCCAAAUUAAGAGGCUGGUGACCUUAAAUAUGCAUAUAAUUUUAUUCAUUUCCAAAAUCCAGAAAUCUGGGAACCACAGAUGUAGUGGGAAAUGUCCUCACUAAUGCCCCUCCAAAGGUGAAUACCUUUGGAGGGCAUGACUCUGGACCUGUCAAAUGUUCUAAAAAGGCAAGAACACAGUGUAAAUGAAUAAAAAGGAAUUGAGGGAAGAUGGGCUACAAAGGGAGAUUUUGCAAAACCUUGCACUAAAGGAAUAAAGCUCCACUGGUGGAAAUUUGAGAUAUGUUUGGGAGGACCUUUGUGAACUGAAAUUGUGCCACAUAACCCACCAAUCCCAGGUUGCCAGAUUGUUUGCUGUUGUACAUGAGCCAGGCCGUGUCUCACCUUUCCAGCUGAGCUGAAACAAGUGUUUAGAUGAUCUUUUGGGGAAACCGGACAGAUGUCGGUAGAAUUUGAGAGUCAUUGUGUAAAACUUUGGGAACUUGUGCCUCCAAGAGGGCUGGUGAGAAGUCCAGAAUCAUCUCACAGCUCAGCCAGGUUGUGCUUGGAAAUCUGUGUUCUCUCUUCAGAUUAGAAGAGAGAUACAAGGUUCAGUAGGUAGAUACUAAUCUGACAAAGACUGCCUAAAAAGUCUCUUAAAGGAUCUAUGUAGAAAAGAGACAGGACUAUAAUGGGUUAAAAUUUCCCAGUACACAGGCAUAAUUCUUAAUUUUCCAAUGAAUUUUGUAGGAACUCUAAAGAAAUAACAAUAA